AAGAUCAAUUAAAUUGAUAAUGGUAUUGAUAGUGGGCUUUCAACCUAGCAACUAGAAGUGUAACAAGACCCAAUGGCUGGCAGCUGAAGUCAGACAAAUUCAGCCUUUCAAUCAGGUACAGAGUUUUAACUGCAAGCGGAAGUAAUUAGAACUGGUUACAUUGGUUUCUGUUGGCAAUCUAAAAAUCAAGGCUGUCUAUUUCCUAAAAUGUAUGCUUUAUUGCAGGUGGAAAGUUGAGGAUGACCUAUGGCCUGUGCUGUGAAAAGCAGGAACUAAAUGAUCACAGUGUAAAUGUAUCUGAUCACUUAUUCAGAAACUCCAUCAAAUUAACUACCGCUGUUUCUGCCAUCCACUAACUACCAUGGUUAUUGGGGUCAUAAUGCUGCUGGAGUUGGGACAGGACAGGUCUUGAGAGAAAUUAAGACUUAAAAGGACAUGAGAUUUUUCUGAAAAUGUUAAAUGAAAAGGGGAAGCAGGAGUAAGGAGACAAGACUAGGGUCACAUUGGUGAUUCUACAGGUUGAAAACAGAAUGACUUUAACAGAAAGGACAAAGAAGACAAAGAGAAGUGCCAAUUUUAUUCUACACUGACUGCAUCAAGGUUUAGUACACAUGCUGAGGUGUGAGGCUGUUUGACAGAGCAGUCUCAAAAGCUUUAUCCCAGCUAGAGGACCUACAUACCUGUGCACAGCCCAGCUGCCUACUGCAGGAAGAGAUCCAGAUGCAUACCAGCCUUUUCCCCCAGGGUGAAGGAAAGAUUUUCUCAUCUGCCCUGAAAAGGUUGGUCAGCACCCACAGGCUCUGGCCUGACAUAGCCUGUUCACCCAGCCCAGGUGCCUGAGAAGUGGAAUUAAGCAGGAGCUGACUGGUGAAUGCAGUGAGUGACUGAUGUUUCUGUGAGAUGGGCCAAGAAACACCAGCAGGAUCCAGAAAUGUUGCCAGAGGAAAUCCAAGGGGAAGAUUAAGUAUAUUGUGGACAAGGAACAACCUGGCAAUAUAAUGAUGGUAAGAAGUUGGGGGUUGCUAGUCUGGGACUGUUUCAUGGAAAUUCAUGGAACUGUUAUUGUUGAAUCAGUUGUUGAAAUUGCUUAUUUUUGAAUCAUUGAAUUGUUAUUUAGUAUUUACUGUUACUUGCUGAAGAGUUCCUCUUUGAACCGUUGUUAAUGUUAGCACUCACACCUGAUCAUUUGAAAAGAAGCUCAGAUGUGAAUGGCUCUGUAGAUGUACUUCUAGAACAUAAAAUAUCAGCUGUGAGAAACUGUGACAUUUAGACCUAUAUAGAAGUAGCCAUCUUACUUACAGGAGCAAUAAAACCACCUUACUCAAAGACA
rnacentral:lncRNA from 1 species